rnacentral:misc_RNA from 1 species
GAUUUGGGCCAGUUGAUACAAUCUGACAAUUAUAUCAUUUGUGAGAAAGAAGCUGAAAUGGCAAAUUCUACUAGAAGAGAAGAGAAGACAAUGAUAUGCACAGUAUGCUUCAUCAGUUCAACCUAUAUUUUCUUGGAGAGUUCAGUUCUAGAUUAUGAAACAACAAUAAGCUAGCACUCCAAGACUAAUUACGUAUAAAAGGGGGCCCAGUUUAGGUUGCAUUUUUUAAGUUUGCACACAUUUUCUUGGAGAGUUGAGUUUAGAUGGCAUUUUUAGCACGUAAAACAAAAUAUAAUGAGCUCUAACUGUAAUGAUUUUAUUGAUGUAAAGGCUCUCCUGUAUUGUGUUUAUAUUUCAGAAUUGAAGCUUUAUUUUGGCAAAUAUGUAACAAAUGAAAUUAAAACCCAUAUUCUCAAAAACAAAUAGGAUUAAAAAUUGGGGAGAAAUACCAAAAAGGAUCUUAC